CUGUGGGUGCUUUUUGAGUAUGGGAUGACUUAAUUCUUUUUUUUUUCCUGUAAUAUUUUAGGUGGCAUACUUCUAGCCCUUAAGAUAUGUAAUCUGUAUGCAGUAACUGCCAGUGCCCUUACUAGUGAAAUGAAAUGAAGAGAUUGGAGUAAGGCCUGUAUGGACUAGAGUGGGCAAGGCCGUCCUCCUAACAUGUAGCAGUCUCUCCUUAAAAUGUGCUAUGCACUGUCAUGAGAGCAAACAGCAGCAAGAGGAUCAAUAAAGCACCAGGAGUCUUAGGACAGAACUUGCUAGCUCCAUGCCAAACUGCGUCAUAAC
rnacentral:lncRNA from 1 species